CUGCCAGAGCCUUCCGGUCCUUAAUUCAUCUAAUUAGACUGGAGCAGCGGUUCUGGCCACACCAAGCCCUGGGAGAUCUCGGGGGAGUUAAUUUCCUCCCGAGUCUGAUAAAUUCCAAUCCAGCUGACAGCCUGCUUGUGGCAGCUCCAAUCGGGGAUAUUCUCUUGUAUUCUAUACCUGCCCUGGGUGGGUGAGAGUAAGUGGGGAAAGGCCCCUGUCCACAGGACACUUCUAUCCUAGGGAAUGUCACAGAAUGUAAUGAAGAGAGGAGGAGCAGGGACUCUAGGAACCAGGGAGAUGGCUCACUCAGCCAGUGUCACUAUGCAAGCACGAGGACCUGAGUUCAAUAGCCAGCGUCCCUGUAACAGUCCGGUGUGCAUCUGUAACCUCGAUGCUGGGAGUAGCAGACUCAAGUGAAUCCCUGGAACUGGCUGGCGAGCAGGGCUGGCAGGGCUGGCUGAUUCCGUGAGCUGCAGCUUCAAUGAGAGACUGUGUCUCAGAACAUAAGAGGACCUGGGUUCUGUUCCCUGAACCCACACAGUGGCUCACACUGAUCGCUAAGUGCAGUUUCAGAGGACCCGACGCCCUCUUCUGACCUCCGAGGGUACCAGGCGUAAGCAUGAUGCACAGGGCACACCUCGGAGGCAUUUGUGAAUGUGCUCCUGGCAUCAGGAACUGCCCUGGGAAGGGUUAGAAAUCGGAUUUCUCAGGCUGCCCCAUCAAUGGAUCUGGAUGCUCCAUGGGAGGGUAACAUGUCUCUGUCUGUCUCUGUCUGUCUCUGUCUCUCUGCUUCUGUCUCUGUCUGUCCUCCCCCCCCCUUUUUUUUUGAAAGAAUUAUUUAUUUAAUGUAUAUGGGUACACUGUCAUUGUCUUCAGGCACUCCAGAAGAGGGCAUCAGGUCCCAUUACAGAUGGCUGUGAUCCACCAUGUGGUUGCUGGGAAUUGAACUCAGGAAGAGCAGUCAGUGCUCUUAACCACUGAGCCUUCUCUCCAGCCCCCCUUCCUUUUUCUUUCUCUGUGUGUACGCAUGCAAGUUUGUGCAGGUGUGUGUAGGUGUGUGUGUGUGUGUGUGUGUGUGUGUGUGUGCGCGCGUGCGCGCGCAUGUGUCCACACCUGUGUGUGAUGUGACGUUGGUUGGAUCACCACUGUAGGUGACCACCAUUAGAUGCUGCCCACCUUUCAUAGGUCAGGCUCAUCAGAUUGCAGAGAUCUGCUCCUCUCCACCACGGCUGGGGUCAGAGGUGUGGACGACCUCCCCACACCACCACACUUGCUUUUUUUUUUUUUUUAGGCGAAUUCCUGGGAUCAGAAGUCAGGUCCUUGUGCCUACAAGGGAAGGGCUUUACUGAACCAUCAUCUAAGUUCUUUCCUUUCUCAGUCUCUCUCUGUCUCCCUCCCUGUUUUUUAUUUUGUGACUGGGUCUCACUUUGUCCUUCUGUCUUGCCUGAAACUCACCAUAUAGACCAGACGGGUCUCGAACUCACAGAGAUCUGCCUGCUCUGCCCCUACUCUGAGUGUCGGGAUUAAACAUGUGUACACCACACCUGGCUUUCUCUUCUUUUAACGCUCUUUAUUGUUAGGGUGUAGGUGUGGGUGGAAGGUACCAGUCCCACUCAUGCAGAGGUCAAACGGUCAGGCGACAACUUGUGGAAGUCGGUUCUCUAUGUUCCCCAUGUGGGCCCUAGGGAACUCAGGUUGCCAUCAUGGUGACAGGAACCUUUCCCUGUGGAGCGACUUCUCUUCGCCCUCCCUCCUUCCCUUACUUCCUCUCUUUGUUUUCAAACAAUCCCUUCUGUAGCUCAGGUUAGUCUAGAAUUCUCUAUGUAGCCUAGGUUAGCCGUGAACUUUCUCUUUCUCCCUUGGCCCCUAGAGUGCCCCAAACACAGGCUUGCGCACUCCCCACCCUCCAGCUCCUCCGUCUGUUUCUGGCUCCAUUUUGGGGACUCCAGACCUAGAUCUGUGAUGUCAGCAGAACCUCCCUCCUCCUGGCCUUCUGGGGUACAGACCAGAGCGGGGGGGGGGGCGCUUUGCUUACCGCAGCCCCCUUUGGAAUGGCUCUGAAAGGCGUAUAAAGAGAUGAGCAAACAUUUAUUCAAGAAAACUACUGACACGUGGGAAGCACAGUGAGAGCCUGUGGUUUUUGAGCUACGAUCCAUUCCCUACUCCCUAUGCAGGACAAGAUGGAAAUUCCACUCCAGGCCGCACAGCCAAGAACACUGCGGCCCCUCUCCCUGGCGAGCAUGGACUCCCACGUGGAAACCUUUUCCUCAGGAGGGAAGCUGGGGAUACUGGGUUCCUGCCUCUUCCUCUGGCUGGACAAAGAGUCCACUGUUUUGGCAUUCUUGAAAAAGGGUCUCAUGUAGACCAGGCUGGCCUUAAACUGUCUUUGUUUCAGAGCAUGAUGAGAGUUUGGGAAUUACAGGCGUGUGUCUCUAAGCGCAGCUUCUCUCUGUAAGCCCAGUGAUGGGGGGUGUCGAGGAGUGAAUGGCUGGAAGUCACCGGCCGCUGGCUUAGCUAGGAAAGCUAGUCUCAUAGGAAGGCAGAGGGCCUGGCAAGAUGGCUUAGUGGGUAAAGGUAUCUGC